GGAUAGGCGAUAAUCAGAAGAAAAAUGGGGACUGUAAAGAAUUUAACAAAAAAAUUCACUUCUUGGGCAGAAUAGCUGAAAAUUUAAAAUAGCUAUGUUCUUGCCAAAUAGCCUGACCCUGCAGUCUAGCAAUGAAAACAUUGCCUUUUCAGAGAAAAGGUAGUGUUUACAUUGCUGGCUACGGCCACCUCCUGUGGAUAUCACUCAGACAGCCACUAGAGGGACCUCCUGGAC